rnacentral:rRNA from 1 species
GACGAACGCUGGCGGCGUGCCUAAUACAUGCAAGUCGAACGCUGAAGGAGGAGCUUGCUUCUCUGGAUGAGUUGCGAACGGGUGAGUAACGCGUAGGUAACCUGCCUGGUAGCGGGGGAUAACUAUUGGAAACGAUAGCUAAUACCGCAUAAGAGUAGAUGUUGCAUGACAUUUGCUUAAAAGGUGCAAUUGCAUCACUACCAGAUGGACCUGCGUUGUAUUAGCUAGUUGGUGGGGUAACGGCUUACCAAGGCGACGAUACAUAGCCGACCUGAGAGGGUGAUCGGCCACACUGGGACUGAGACACGGCCCAGACUCCUACGGGAGGCAGCAGUAGGGAAUCUUCGGCAAUGGACGGAAGUCUGACCGAGCAACGCCGCGUGAGUGAAGAAGGGUUUCGGAUCGUAAAGCUCUGUUGUAAGAGAAGAACGAGUGUGAGAGUGGAAAGUUCACACUGUGACGGUAGCUUACCAGAAAGGGACGGCUAACUACGUG